rnacentral:misc_RNA from 1 species
GCAAACUUGGUCAUUUAGAGGAAGUAAAAGUCGUAACAAGGUCUCCGUAGGUGAACCUGCGGAGGGAUCAUUAAAAAGAAUGUACGAUCCAGAAAUGGAUCCUACCUUCCCAACCCUUUGUCAAUCAUAAUCGUUGCUUCGGUGGACAUCCUUGGACGGACCAUCUUCUUGGUUCGAUGGGGAGCCACCGGAGAAUCACCAAUACACUCGUCAUACUUGAAGUCUUAUAUCAGAUUCUAAAUCUAAACAAAACUUUCAACAACGGAUCUCUUGGUUCUGGCAUCGAUGAAGAACGCAGC